GACGAACGCUGGCGGCGUGCUUAACACAUGCAAGUCGAGCGGUAAGGCCCUUUCGGGGGUACACGAGCGGCGAACGGGUGAGUAACACGUGGGUGACCUGCCCUUAGCUCUGGGAUAAGCCUGGGAAACUGGGUCUAAUACCGGAUAUGACUCCAUGACGCAUGUUGUGGGGUGGAAAGCCUUGUGCGGCUAGGGAUGGGCCCGCGGCCUAUCAGCUUGUUGGUGGGGUGAUGGCCUACCAAGGCGACGACGGGUAGCCGCCUGAGAGGGCGACCGGCCACACUGGGACUGAGACACGGCCCAGACUCCUACGGGAGCAGCGAGGUGGGGAAUCUUGCGCAAGUGGGCGAAAGCCUGACGCAGCGACGCCGCGUGA
rnacentral:rRNA from 1 species